GAUGAAGAACGCAGCGAAAUGCGAUACUUGGUGUGAAUUGCAGAAUCCCGUGAACCAUCGAGUCUUUGAACGCAAGUUGCGCCCGAAGCCAUUAGGCCGAGGGCAUGCCUGCCUGGGCGUCACACGUCGUUGCCCCCCCAUCUACUCCUUCGGGAUUGCGGGGGGCGGAUGAUGGCCUCUCGUGCGCCUCGUCGCGCGGUUGGCCUAAAUGCCAAGUCCUCGGCGACGCACGCCACGACAAUCGGUGGUUGCGAAACCUCGGUUGCCUGUCGUGUGCGGUCGUCGCGCAUCGAGGGCUCGAAAAAAUUGCCGGGCUUCGGCUCGACUUUCAACGCGACCCCAGGUCAGGCGGGGUUACCCGCUGAAUUUAAGCAUAUCAAUAAGCGGAGGA
rnacentral:misc_RNA from 1 species